rnacentral:rRNA from 1 species
UACGGGAGGCAGCAGUGGGGAAUAUUGCACAAUGGGCGAAAGCCUGAUGCAGCUAUGCCGCGUGUAUGAAGAAGGCCUUAGGGUUGUAAAGUACUUUCAUCGGGGAGGAAAAACAAAACUAAUAAUUUUAUUUCUUGACGUUACCCGAAAAAGAAGCACCGGCUAACUCCGUGCCAGCAGCCGCGGUAAUACGGAGGGUGCUAGCGUUAAUCAGAAUUACUGGGCGUAAAGAGCACGUAGGUGGUUUUUUUAAAGUCAGAUGUGAAAUCCCUGGGCUUAACCUAGGAACUGCAUUUUGAAACUGAAAUACUAGAGUAUCGUAGAGGGAGGUAGAAUUCUAGGUGUAGCGGUGAAAUGCGUAGAUAUCUGGAGGAAUACCUGUGGCGAAAGCGGCCUCCUAAACGAAUACUGACACUGAGGUGCGAAAGCGUGGGGAGCAAACAGGGAUUAGAUACC